GCCUGGGUGGCUCAAUCAGUUGAGCAUCUGACUUUGGCUCAGGUCAUGAUCUCAGAGUUUGUGGGUUCGACACGCAUCAGGCU
rnacentral:tRNA from 1 species